rnacentral:rRNA from 1 species
UACGAAGGGGGCUAGCGUUGUUCGGAAUCACUGGGCGUAAAGCGCACGCAGGCGGCGCGGUAAGUCGGGGUGUGAAAUCUCGGAGCUUUAACUCCGAAACUGCAUUCGAUACUGCCCGUGCUUUGAGGGACUGGGAGAGGAGACUGGGAAAUUUUUACGGGUGGAGCGGGUGAAAAUGCGUAGAUAUCGUUAAAGGGAAAGACCCAGUGGGCGAAAGGGCGGGGG